GCCCAGGUGGCGGAAUUGGUAGACGCGCUGGUUUCAGGUACCAGUGGGGGAAACCUCGUGGAAGUUCGAGUCUUCUCCUGGGCACCA
rnacentral:tRNA from 1 species